UACGGAGGGUGCGAGCGUUGUCCCGGAAUCAUUGGGCGUAAAGGGCGCGUAGGUGGCCUGCUAAGCGUGCGGUGAAAGCCUGGGGCUCAACCCCGGGUCGGCCGUGCGAACUGGUGGGCUUGAGCACUGUAGAGGCAGGCGGAAUUCCGGGUGUAGCGGUGGAAUGCGUAGAGAUCCGGAAGAACACCGGUGGCGAAGGCGGCCUGCUGGGCAGUAGCUGACACUGAGGCGCGAAAGCGUGGGGGAGCAAACAGG
rnacentral:rRNA from 1 species